GCCGCUGUGGUGAAAUUGGUAUACACGUACGCUUGAGGUGCGUAUGCCGCAAGGUGUGGAGGUUCAAGUCCUCUCAGCGGCA
rnacentral:tRNA from 1 species